rnacentral:rRNA from 1 species
CGGCCCAGACUCCUACGGGAGGCAGCAGUAGGGAAUCUUCGGCAAUGGACGAAAGUCUGACCGAGCAACGCCGCGUGAGUGAAGAAGGUUUUCGGAUCGUAAAACUCUGUUGUUAGAGAAGAACAAGGAUGAGAGUAACUGUUCAUCCCUUGACGGUAUCUAACCAGAAAGCCACGGCUAACUACGUGCCAGCAGCCGCGGUAAUACGUAGGUGGCAAGCGUUGUCCGGAUUUAUUGGGCGUAAAGCGAGCGCAGGCGGUUUCUUAAGUCUGAUGUGAAAGCCCCCGGCUCAACCGGGGAGGGUCAUUGGAAACUGGGAGACUUGAGUGCAGAAGAGGAGAGUGGAAUUCCAUGUGUAGCGGUGAAAUGCGUAGAUAUAUGGAGGAACACCAGUGGCGAAGGCGGCUCU